GUUCAUUUGAAGUUCCGCUUAUCAAACCGCCUCCAUGAAGUCUGAGUUACUGAGAAACUAAGAGAUGGGAGUGGACAUACCUCAGUUCCUUGAUAGCGUACUAUCUCACUGGGAGACCUCAGAAUGUCAGGUUGGGGAACUGCAUGUCUGGGACUAUCAUCAGCAGCGGACCUAAUCUACCUGACAUGUUCUACCAGACUAUCAUUGCCAGUGCCCUCUUCUAUGAUGUGGUGUGCUGGGGAAGCACAACUAAGAAGAAGGACACUUCGCCCUGGACAAACUGAUAUAGAAGAUGGGCUCUGUAGUAGAGACAGAGUUGGAGUCCCUGACAUCAGUGGCAGAUGCAAGGAAGUUGAACAAACUCCAGACAAUUUUGAACAAUGUCCACCUGUCACAACACAGUGACAGGCUGCUGUCUCAGUUGUGCUCCAGUUCCUGGGAUCUGUUGGAUCCUACUACCACAGGAACCAUGCUCCUCCUCAUCCACUCCAGUGUUUUUAUUGAUCAUUGCUUCUCCGUGUGAACCCAAUUCUAGUGAAAUGAUAUGACAAAUGUAAUAUGAUAGCUAGCACUAGCUACUGUGACCUGUAAUGUUUGUUUGCCACUGCUGUUUGCGCUAUAUUAAAGUUUAAAGAUAAGUAUGUGAUCAUGUGCAAUAGAAAAUGAGAAGUAAAGAAAAAU